rnacentral:rRNA from 1 species
AGUCGAGGGGUAGGGAGAGAGUAGUUUACUAUAAUUUCCUGAGACCGGCGCACGGGUGCGUAACACGUAUGCAACUUACCCUUUACUGGGGCAUAGCUCAGAGAAAUCUGAAUUAAUUCCCCAUAACGAUAUUGGAUCGCAUGAUUCGAUAUCUAAAGUUCCGGCGGUAAAGGAUAGGCAUGCGGUGUAUUAGCUAGUUGGUGAGGUAAUGGCUCACCAAGGCUACGAUACAUAGGGGUUCUGAGAGGAUGAUCCCCCACACUGGUACUGAGACACGGACCAGACUCCUACGGGAGGCAGCAGUAGGGAAUAUUGGUCAAUGGACGCAAGUCUGAACCAGCCAUGCCGCGUGCAGGAUGACGGCCCUCUGGGUUGUAAACUGCUUUUAUAUGGGAAGAAACCCCGGGAUGCGUUCCGGGCUGACGGUACCAUACGAAUAAGGAUCGGCUAACUUCGUGCCAGCAGCCGCGGUAAGACGAAGGAUCCAAGCGUUGUCCGGAUUUACUGGGUUUAAAGGGUGCGUAGGCGGAUGCUUAAGCCAGUGGUGAAAUCUCUCAGCUCAACUGAGAAACUGCCAUUGGAACUGGGUAUCUUGAAUUCGAUUGAGGUAGAUGGAAUAUAACAUGUAGCGGUGAAAUGCUUAGAUAUGUUAUGGAACACCGAUUGCGAAGGCAGUCUACUAAGUCGACAUUGACGCUGAAGCACGAAAGCGUGGGUAGCGAACAGGAUUAGAUACCCUGGUAGUCCACGCCCUAAACGUUGAUUACUCGCUGNUGGCGAUACACUGUCAGCGGCUAAGCGAAAGCGUUAAGUAAUCCACCUGGGGAGU